GACCUCGUGCUCUCAUGUGAAAAUAAGUUUCGAUUUGGAAUAUUAAAUUAUAUCAGUGUUUUAUCUCAUCAUAUCAUCACUGAAGUGAUAUGACGUUUCCUAUCCAACAACGAAACCUACAUCAUAUAUUAUAUCGAAAGGCGGCAGUUUCUGUCACCAGUGUAAGCAUUUGGUUCAGAUGGGUGGCUCAAAGCUGCGUGAGUUCCUCAACUUAAGCCUGAAAGAAAUCAUGACAGUCGAAUUCGUCUGCUAAUUUUCGUUGCCUGCAGGAAAACACCACUUCCAAUUCGGAGACACCAGAGUUUCGAAUAUUUUAUACCAGGUGGCUCAACAGUGCACAAAUUUUAGGGGUCCAGAUGACAAGGCUCAAUUUAAGUCAGAGAUGCUGGAGGUGUUGAGGACGAUAAAACAGAAGCACCGAAAUAGCUUAAAAACCAGGUUGCAAAAAGCCAAACCGUCGUAGAAAUGGACGAAGAAAGUCUAACAAAAAAAAAAUUGCGUUACUAGAAUCAUUGGCUGCAGAAGACUGCUGUGUUGUGGAAAGCCUACAGUUUCAUGGAGUGGAUUCUUUGUAUGGGGAUGACGAAAGUGACUGAAUAAUUGAAAUACUGACGUGAUGAUUAUGUUAAAGACGUUGUGUUGCGGAUAAAGUACAAAUACUGGUCACACUUCGAGUACAAUACUUAUAUAAAACGAGAAAAAUAAGUACAAAAACAGUGUUCAAAUAUAUUAUUAAAAUAUUCGUGUUAAUUAAAGCAAAAUUAUAUAUUAAGUUAAUUAAAUUUAAGACGUUAAUUAUGUUCCUGAUGAACUAAAAAGACUGAUAGCGCUUCGCACCCAAUAUAUAAUUAUAUGAAAAGUAUAUUAAUAAGCAAAAAACAGUGUUCAAAUACAUAUAUUAUUAAAAUAUUCGUGUUUUUAAAGCAAAUUUGUAGAUUAAGUUAAUUAAGUUUAAGACGUUAUGUUCCUGAUGAACUAAAUAGACUGAUCGCGCUUCGCACACAAUAGUUAUAUAGAAACUACAUUAAUAAGAAAAAACAGUGUUAAAAUAUAUUAUUGAAAUUUUCGUAUUUUCAAAGCAAAUAAUGUAUAGAUUAAGUUACAGUAACUUUAUGAGGAUGAGUCGAAAACAUCUUUUUUCGAGUUGGGCUUUUUAUUAUUGAAAUCAAAAAGCUCAAAUGAGAUGUAAAAAAAUGUAUAUAUAUAGUCAUCUCGGCUUUCAAUGAGGAUGUUAUUUUUUUAAUUUUAUUUA